CGCCCAUUAGCUCAGUUGGUUAGAGCGCAGCAUUCAUAACGCUGAGGUCACAAGUUCAAAUCUCGUAUGGGCGACCA
rnacentral:tRNA from 1 species